GACCGUUGCUGAGCACGCGCCCUGCUGCCCACGCGUCCUGUGAGCAGAGCUGAGGAAGAAGCGGUGGUGUGGGCGGUGUCGUGGUCUUUCUGGCUGCCUGCCCUCAACCGGGUGAAGUAUGAGUGGAUGUGUAAGAUCAAGAUCUAAGUCUAAACAAAGAAAAGGUGAUCGAGAGUCUAACUAGCCAGCUGCACCUGUGGCUGGCCAGCAGCCCAGUGAUAAGCAACCUCGACAAAAGGAGACACCCAACUGGAAGUCAGAAUAUUAUACCUGAUCAAAAGAAAGAAGUUAAAGAAGCACCUGUGGAUCAAGAGAAGGAGCAAGCAAGGUGGGGCAAAGAGAGGGUGAAGAGGAUCCGAAGCCAGCUCCUCACUGACAGCAGAGAGCCAGAUGUGGGACUCUCAAACUCAAGAACCAUGAGAUCAUGACCUGAGCUGAAGUCAGACGCUUAACCUAGUUACCCAGGUGAAGGGCAAUCCAGUUUUAAACAAAGACAAGCUGAAACUCUGCAAAAUGUUCUUAUGUUAGCUACUUGACUAUUAAGAUUCUCUUAAUAAAGUUUUAAAAU